UACGUAGGGUGCGAGCGUUGUCCGGAAUUAUUGGGCGUAAAGAGCGUGUAGGCGGCCAGACAGGUCAGCUGUGAAAACUCGAGGCUCAACCUCGAGACGUCGGUUGAAACCGUCUGGCUAGAGUCCGGAAGAGGAGAGUGGAAUUCCCGGUGUAGCGGUGAAAUGCGCAGAUAUCGGGAAGAACACCCGUGGCGAAGGCGGCUCUCUGGGACGGUACUGACGCUGAGACGCGAAAGCGUGGGGAGCGAACAGGG
rnacentral:rRNA from 1 species